GAGGGAUAAAAUGAAAAUAGACCACUUUAUCUCUCUAAUUCAUCCAAAUACUAUAAGAGGAAGCGAGUUUAUUUAAUCCCCCUCUUAACGGAUUAUUAUAGGAUAACCCGUUAAAAGGAAGAUUUGUUGUUCCAUCCUUUUGGUAGAAUAACAAUUUUUUCUCUUUAUACCUCUACUAGUUUAAUAAUAAAAUAUUAUUAAUUAAUAUAUUAUAUAUAUCAUUUUAUUAACUAAUUAGCUAAAUUAAAAAUUAACUAAUUUAAUAAUAAAAUAUUAGCUAAAUUAAUAAUUAUUUAUUAGUGUAUUUAUGCAAUAACUAAUAUCUUUAUUGAUUAAUAAAUUAAUAUUUUUACCAACAUAACUAAUUAAAUAAUUAAUUAAUUAAUUAAUUUACUAAUAUAUUAAUUUAUUAGCCUAAUUUGUUAACUUAUUAAAUUAUUUAUAGUUAGAUAGUUUAUUAAUUAACAAUACUCAUAGUUAAUUGAUUAAUGAUUAAUUAAUCUGGUAAUUAAUGUAUUAAUUAAUAUUUAUGAUUAUUUAAUAAUAUUCAUGAUAAAUUAAUUUUUUAAAAUUAUAAAUUUGAGAUUUUAAAAUUUUAAAUUUUAAUUUUGAUUCUUAAAGUUUAAAAGUUUAUAUUUUAAAUUUUAAAAUAUAAGUAUAAAAUAUAAAAUUUCUAAUUAUAAUAUAAAGAAAAGAAUAAUAAUAAUAUUAUUUUUUAUUUAUAACUACCCACUCUAAUUCUUAUUCCAUCUUAUAUAACCAAACGCUAUUUUUCUUAUUUUCAGGAAUAAUCCAAUUUUCAUCCAAACACAAAAUUGAUCUAAUCCCCGUUUAUAUCUCAAUUUAUACAUAUCUCCGAAAUAUCUACUUUUUGCUUAUUCUCGAACCAAACGAUGCCUUUAAAAAAUAAGCUCUCCUGAGACAAGUUUUUGUA
rnacentral:lncRNA from 1 species